GAUGAACGCUGGCGGCGUGCUUAACACAUGCAAGUCGAACGAUGAAGCCCAGCUUGCUGGGUGUAUUAGUGGCGAACGGGUGAGUAACACGUGAGUAACCUGCCCUUAACUCUGGGAUAAGCCUGGGAAACUGGGUCUAAUACCGGAUAGGAGCGCCUACCGCAUGGUGGGUGUUGGAAAGAUUUAUCGGUUUUGGAUGGACUCGCGGCCUAUCAGCUUGUUGGUGAGGUAAUGGCUCACCAAGGCGACGACGGGUAGCCGGCCUGAGAGGGUGACCGGCCACACUGGGACUGAGACACGGCCCAGACUCCUACGGGAGGCAGCAGUGGGGAAUAUUGCACAAUGGGCGCAAGCCUGAUGCAGCGACGCCGCGUGAGGGAUGACGGCCUUCGGGUUGUAAACCUCUUUCAGUAGGGAAGAAGCGAAAGUGACGGUACCUGCAGAAGAAGCACCGGCUAACUACGUG
rnacentral:rRNA from 1 species